GAAAAACCCUUAGCCAAGUGCCACGCAUGGAGUUAAUGAUGGAUUAAUGCUGGGUGGGCAGAAACAUCUGGAUGCAGGGAACUAUUGAGAGCAUUUUCAUGAGGAGGGAAUUCGGAUGGAUUUAACUUCAACAAUCCAUUAGGAUGAAGAGGAAAAUGUAGAUGUACAUGUUGGAUUGCCAGCAUGCAGUUCCAAUGAAAUAUAUGCACAGGACGUUUUGUG